GAUGAACGCUGGCGGCGUGCUUAACACAUGCAAGUUGAACGAAGUGGCGGAUGGGCGAGUAACACGUGAGGAACCUGCCUUUCACAGGGGAAUAACACUGGGAAACCAGUGCUAAUACCGCAUAGUGAAAUAUUCCCUCGCGCCUGAUUAGCUAGUAGGUGAGGUAACGGCUCACCUAGGUGAUGAUCAGUAGCCGGACUGAAUGUAGAUCGGCCGCAUUGGGACUGAGACACGGCCCAGACUCCUACUGGAGGCAGCAGUGGGGAAGAUUGGGCAAUGGCGCAAGCCUGACCCAGCAACGCCGCGGGAAGGAAGACGGUCUUCGGAUUGUAAACUUCUUUAGACAGGGACGCGGGAAAUGAAGAAUAAGCCACGGCUAACUACGUGCCAGCAGCCGCGGUAAUUG
rnacentral:rRNA from 1 species